UCCGGUUUGGCACCGGCAGUCUCCCAUGAGUCCCCGACAUCACUCGCUGGCAACAUGGAACAGGGGUUGCGCUCGUUGCGCCACUUAAGGCAACACCUCACGGCACGAGCUGACGACAGCCGUGCAGCACCUGUGCGGGCCCCCGAAAGGGCACCGUGUUUCCACGGUUUCACCCCGCAUGUCAAGCCCUGGUAAGGUUCUGCGCGUUGCUUCGAAUUAAGCAACAUGCUCCGCCGCUUGUGCGGGCCCCCGUCAAUUCCUUUGAGUUUUAGCCUUGCGGCCGUACUCCCCAGGCGGGGCACUUAUCGCGUUAGCUUCGGCACGGAUGGAGUCGACACCACCCACACCUAGCACCCAUCGUUUACGGCGUGGACUAC
rnacentral:misc_RNA from 1 species